GUGAGGGGGGAGUCCGCUGUUUGUGCGGAGCUUUUCGGCACAAUCUUUCGGCUUCAGCGCUGCUGCCCUGUUGAAUCGCAGGCUCCUAUUUCAUUAAUUUAACUGAACCUGUUUUGCGGUUUGUUAUCCGUAUUUCUCAGUUUCUCAACGCAAUUAAUGUAAAUUUAAACUUUUAUUCAAUAGAGAGAUCGUCCUUAUUGUCUAUCAGUGAAAUCCAUUGAUUUCCGUAUUUCCUGCCUUAGUGGGUGACCAGCCAUCUAAAGCAAAAUGUUGGAUCCAUCAUCUAGUGAGGAGGAAGCAGAUGAGAUUGUGGAGGAGGAAUGCAAAGAGGUGAAGGCACCCCAGGCCGGGUCUCGUCUGUCUCCGAGCCGAACCAGCGAGAGCUCCGGAGGGUUACAGCCCAGUAGCCGGAGCAUCAGUGCCCGCCCGUCCAGUCCCAGUCCGUCGGUGGCCAGCGAGAAAGAGAAGGAAGAGGUGGAAAAAUUUCAGAAAGAGGAAGAAGAACGGAAGAAAAAGCUACAGCUUUAUGUCUUUGUGAUGAGAUGCAUCGCUUAUCCUUUCAAUGCAAAGCAGCCAACGGACAUGGCGAGGCGACAGCAGAAGAUUAGCAAGCAACAGCUACAGACUGUCAAGGAGCACUUCCAGGCCUUCCUCAAUGGAGAGACGCAGAUCGUAGCAGACGAGGCCUUUAUCAAUGCCGUCCAGAGCUACUAUGAGGUGUUCCUGAAGAGCGACCGCGUGUCCCGGAUGGUGCAAAGCGGGGGCUUCUCAGCCAACGACUCGCGCGAUGUCUUCAAGAAGCACAUUGAAAAGCGUGUGCGUAGCCUUCCGGAGAUUGAUGGCCUCAGUAAGGAGACGGUGCUCAGCUCCUGGAUGGCCAAGUUCGACACCAUCUACAGGGGAGAGGAGGACCCGCGCAAGCAGCAGCAGCGCAUGACGGCCAGCGCUGCCUCCGAGCUCAUCCUCAGCAAGGACCAGCUCUACGAGAUGUUCCAGCAGAUCCUAGGCAUCAAGAAGUUUGAGCACCAGCUGCUCUAUAAUGCCUGUCAGUUGGACAACCCUGAUGAGCAGGCUGCCCAGAUCAGACGGGAGCUGGAUGGCAGGCUGCAGAUGGCGGAGCAGAUAGCAAGAGCAGGAAAGUUUCCUAAGUUCGUCUCCAAAGACAUGGAGGGGAUGUACAUCGAGGAGCUCAAGUCAUCGGUGAACCUGCUGAUGGCCAACCUGGAGAGCAUGCCCGUGUCCAAGGGAGGCGAGUUCAAACUGCAGAAGCUGAGGAGGGGUCACAACACCUCCAUCAUGGAAAUGGGCCAGGAAGACGAGAACCAGCUCUCCAAGUCGGACGUGGUGCUCUCCUUCACUCUGGAGGUUGUGAUCAUGGAGGUGCAGGGCCUGAAGUCGCUGGCCCCCAACCGCAUCGUUUACUGUACAAUGGAGGUGGAGGGCGGGCAGAAACUGCAGACUGACCAGGCGGAGGCGUCGAAACCCACCUGGGGAACUCAGGGUGACUUCACCACCACACACCCCCUGCCGGCUGUAAAAGUGAAGCUGUUCACCGAGAGCACGGGUGUGUUGGCUCUGGAAGAUAAGGAGCUGGGACGGGUCGUCCUGCACCCCACUCCGAACAGUCCAAAACAAUCCGAGCUGCACAAAAUGGUCGUAUCAAAGGCAUGCCCCGAUCACGACCUGAAGAUAAAGCUAGCCAUUCGCAUGGACAAGCCGCAAAACAUGAAGCAUUGUGGGUAUCUUUGGGCAAUUGGGAAGAAUGUAUGGAAGAGAUGGAAGAAAAGGUUCUUUGUUCUGGUGCAGGUCAGCCAGUAUACAUUCGCCAUGUGCAGCUACCGGGAGAAGAAGUCUGAACCGCAGGAGCUGCUUCAGCUGGACGGGUACACGGUGGAUUACACCGAUCCCCAGCCAGGUCUGGAUGGUGGUAGGGCAUUCUUUAACGCCGUGAGGGAGGGUGACACCGUGAUCUUCGCCAGUGACGAUGAGCAGGAUCGCAUCCUGUGGGUGCAGGCCAUGUACCGGGCCACGGGGCAGUCCCACAAGCCUGUUCCCCCCACCCAAGUCCAGAAGCUCAACGCCAAGGGGGGCACAGCGCCCCAGCUGGACGCACCCAUCUCCCAGUUUUAUGCGGACAGAGCCCAGAAACAUGGGAUGGACGAAUUUAUCUCCACCAAUCCGUGCAGCUUCGAUCACGCCUCGCUGUUUGAGACGCUACAGCGACUCACCCUGGACCACAGGCUGAGCGACUCGUACUCCUGCCUGGGCUGGUUCAGUCCGGGUCAGGUGUUCGUCCUGGACGAGUAUUGCGCCCGGAACGGUGUACGGGGCUGUCACAGACACCUGUGCUACCUGAACGACCUGCUGGAGCGGGCCGAGAAUGGCGCCAUGAUCGACCCCACCCUGCUGCACUACAGCUUCGCCUUCUGUGCCUCACACGUCCAUGGGAACAGGCCAGACGGGAUUGGGACAGUGACGGUGGAGGAGAAAGAGCGUUUUGAGGAGAUCAAGGAACGUCUACGGGUUCUUCUGGAGAACCAAAUCACACAUUUCAGGUAUUGCUUCCCGUUUGGCCGGCCUGAGGGAGCUUUAAAAGCCACGCUGUCUUUACUAGAAAGGGUCCUCAUGAAAGACAUAGUAACCCCCGUCCUACAGGAGGAGGUGAAGGCCGUCAUCCGCAGCUGUUUGGAGCAGGCAGCUCUGGUCAACUACCAGCGGCUUUCUGAGUACGCUAAAGUGGAAGGGAAAAAGAGAGAAAUGUAUGAGCAUCCUGUCUUCUGCUUGGCGUCUCAAGUGAUGGAUUUAACCAUUCAGAACGUAGGUCGCUUAGUCACUCCCGCCAAAAAGCUGGAAGACACCAUUCGUCUGGCCGAAUUGGUCAUCGAGGUCCUUCAGCAGAAUGAGGAGCAUCACGCCGAGGCUGCUGUCACGUGCACGGGGGAUCAGUCGGCCUUCGCCUGGUGGUCAGACCUGAUGGUGGAGCAUGCCGAGACCUUCCUGUCCCUCUAUGCCGUGGACAUGGAUGCUGCCCUGGAGGUCCAGCCCCCGGAUAGCUGGGACAGCUUUCCGCUCUUCCAGCUGCUCAAUGAUUUCCUUCGGACUGACUAUCACCUGUGCAACGGAAAGUUCCACAAACACCUGCAGGAUCUGUUUGCCCCCCUGGUGGUUAGAUAUGUGGACCUGAUGGAGUCAUCCAUCGCUCAGUCAAUACACAGGGGCUUCGAGCGCGAGUCCUGGGAGCCAGUGAAGAAUUUAACCAGUAAUCUGCCAAACGUGAACCUUCACAUGCCCAAAGUACCAAACCUACCCGUAGCGGUUAACCUCCCACAAAUGCCUAGCAUUUCCACACCGUCAUGGAUGGGACCCUUGUAUGACUUCCACAAUGGCUCGGGCACCUCUGAGGACCUCUUCUGGAAGCUGGACGCACUGCAGUCCUUCAUCCGCGACCUGCACUGGCCCGAGGAGGAGUUCGGCAAGCACCUAGAGACACGGCUGAAGCUCAUGUCCAGCGACAUGAUUGAGUCCUGCGUACGACGGACGAGGGCGGCGUUCGAGUCGAAGCUCCAGAAAAGCAGCCGGACGACAGACUUCCGCGUGCCGCAGUCAAUAUGCACCAUGUUCAACGUGAUGGUGGACGCCAAGGCCCAGUCAGCCAAGCUGUGCGCCAUGGAACAGGGCCAGGAGAGACAGUACCACUCCCAGAUCGACCAUCUCAUCGAAGAGACGGUUAAGGAGAUGACCACUCUUCUGGUAGCGAAGUUUGUGGUCAUUCUGGAAAGCGUCCUGGCUAAGUUGUCCCGGUACGACGAAGGAACGCUCUUCUCUUCAUUCCUCUCUUUUACAGUGAAAGCAGCCUCAAAGUAUGUGGAUGUCCCUAAACCUGGGAUGGACGUGGCAGACAGCUACGUGACAUUUGUGCGCCACUCUCAGGACAUUCUGCGAGAUAAGGUCAAUGAGGAGAUGUACAUAGAAAGGUUAUUUGACCAAUGGUACACCAGCACUAUGAAUCUCCUGGGGACCUGGCUGACCGACCGCAUGGACCUCCAGCUUCACGUCUACCAAUUGAAAAUCCUCAUCAGGAUCGUGAAGGUAACUGCUGACCGAAACUGGGCUCACUUCACCAGGCUCACUUUUGAGGUUUUAUGGAUGUCUACGUCUGCAUUUUGAGGAGGGAAAUUAAUAUUUAUGUAGAAUAUGUCAGUUUAUUACAUAGCUCAUAUCUCUAUAUGACUUACCACGUUAUGUUUUAAAUAUUUAAAUAUGAACACAAAGCCUAUCAAUGAAAGGUAUGCACUGUGAGCUAACAGACCAUGUUGGCUAGCCUAGGACAGACACACGCAGUCCGUGUGGAUGAAAGGUAUGCACUGUGAGCUAACGGGCCCCGUCGACUAGCCUGAGACAGACACGCGCAGUCCUUCUGUAUGAAAGGUAUGUACUGUGAGCUAACAGACCCUGCCGGCUAGCCUGAGACAGACACACGCAGUCUUUGUGGAUGAAAGGUAUGCACUGUGGGCUAAUGGGCCCCGUCGGCUAGCCUGAGACAGACAUGCACUGUCCAUUUGGAUGAAAGGUAUACACUGUGAGCUAACGGACCCCGCCGGCUAGCCUGAGACAGACACAUGCAGUCCUUGUGGAUGAAAGGUAUGCACUGUGAGCUAACGGACCCCGCCGGCUAGCCUGAGACAGACACGCGCAGUCCAUUUGGAUGAAAGGUAUGCACUGUGAGCUAACGGGCCCCGUCGACUAGCCUGAGACAGACACGUGCAGUCCUUCUGUAUGAAAGGUAUGUACUGUGAGCUAACAGACCCUGCCGGCUAGCCUGAGACAGACACGCACAGUCCAUUUGGAUGAAAGGUAUGCACUGUGAGCUAACGGGCCCCGUCGACUAGCCUGAGACAGACACGCACAGUCCAUUUGGAUGAAAGGUAUGCACUGUGAGCUAACGGGCCCCGUCGACUAGCCUGAGACAGACACGCGCAGUCCUUCUGUAUGAAAGGUAUGCAUUGUGAGCUAACGCCCCCAGUCGGCUAGCCUGGGACAGACACGCGCAGUCUUUGUGGAUGAAAGAUAUGCACUGUGAGCUAACGGGCCCCGUCGGCUAGCCUGAAACAGACACAUGCAGUCCUUGUGGAUGAAAGAUAUGCACUGUGAGCUAACAGACCCCGACAGCUAGCCUGAGACAGACGCACGCAGUCCUUGUGGAUGAAAGAUAUGGACUGUGAGCUAACGGGCCCAGUUGGCUAGCCUGGGACAGACACGCGCAGUCCUUCUGUGUGAAAGGUAUGCACUGUGAGCUAACGGACUCCGCCGGCUAGCCUGAGACAGACACAUGCAGUCCUUGUGGAUGAAAGGUAUGCACUGUGAGCUAACGGACCCUGUCGGCUAGCCUGGGACAGACACACACAGUCCUUGUGGAUGAAAGAUAUGCACUGUGAGCUAACAGACCCCGACAGCUAGCCUGAGACAGACACACGCAGUCCUUGUGGAUGAAAGAUAUGGACUGUGAGCUAACGGGCCCAGUCGGCUAGCCUGGGACAGACACGCGCAGUUCUUCUGUAUGAAAGGUAUGCACUGUGAGCUAACGGACUCCGCCGGCUAGCCUGGGCCAGACACGCGCAGUCUUUGUGGAUGAAAGAUAUGCACUGUGAGCUAACGGGCCCCGUCGGCUAGCCUGAAACAGACACAUGCAGUCCUUGUGGAUGAAAGAUAUGCACUGUGAGCUAACAGACCCCGACAGCUAGCCUGAGACAGACACACGCAGUCCUUGUGGAUGAAAGAUAUGGACUGUGAGCUAACGGGCCCAGUUGGCUAGCCUGGGACAGACACGCGCAGUCCUUCUGUGUGAAGGGUAUGCAUUGUGAGCUAACGGACCCUGUCGACUAGCCUGGGACAGACACACACAGUCCUUGUGGAUGAAAGGUAUGCACUGUGAGCUAACGGGCCCCGUCGGCUAGCCUGAGACAGACACUCGCAGUCCUUGUGGAUGAAAGAUAUGCACUGUGAGCUAACGGGCCCCGUUGGCUAGCCUGAGACAGACACACGCAGUUCUUGUGGAUGAAAGAUAUGCACUGUGAGCUAACGGGCCCCGUCUGCUAGCCUGAGACAGACACAUGCAGUCCCAAUUCUGCUUCCUUAAAUGCAAAUUUGCAUUGCAAUUCUGCAUCCUGUCAUCCACCACAAUUCAAAUUCAAUUCAAAUUUACAAACUGAAUUGGAAUAUCACAGCCAUUUCAGUUAUGCACAACCUCGGCUUGCUGUCGUCGUCCAGAUUCAGUUCGGCACUGCGUACGAUGGAGGUGCCAGGGUGUAUGUGAGUGGAGAGGAGACUGUGUGAGAGAACACGCACUCAGAGUAAAUUUUUCCAUGCUCCUUUCACAUCAUAAAAAUUUCCCUGCAACCCCGUUUCGGAGCGAGAGCCUGGAAGCACUGCAAAAUGUGUUUUAUUUUCAUUCGAUCCAUGGAGGAGGUGCAUCUUGAUUUUGUGUUGCCCACUCGACAGCUGUGGAACAGACGGUAUCAGGACAGUGUCGUCCUUAAUGUGGGAACAGGUGUGGUAAAUGCCACUCGUUUCCAGCUCUCAGAAGAGUCCUUAAAGAAAGUGCCAGAGAUUCCCUUUGUCCCAUUUCCUGU